rnacentral:rRNA from 1 species
GACGAACGCUGGCGGCGUGCUUAACACAUGCAAGUCGAACGAAGUGGCGAACGGGUGAGUAACGCGGAAUCAACCUGCCCUUCAGAGGGGGACAACAGUUGGAAACGACUGCUAAUACCGCAUACUGAAGGAGGGGAGUGCGUCUGAUUAGCUAUUUGGAGGGGAAAAGGCCAACCAAGUCGAUGAGCAGUCGCCGGUCUGAGAUGAUGAACGGCCACAUUGGGACUGAGACACGGCCCAGACUCCUACGGGAGGCAGCAGUGGGGAAUCUUCCGCAAUGGACGAAAGUCUGACGGAGCAACGCCGCGUGAGUGAUGACGGCCUUCGGGUUGUAAAGCUCUGUUAAUCGGGACGCGGUACCGGAAUAGAAAGCCACGGCUAACUACGUGCCAGCAGCCGCGGUAAUUC